CAUUAAUUCAACGCCAAAGAUUUGAGUUUUGUCCCUCUAUAUAAAUGACUAUACAAGGGCGAAAGCUUACGGCAUCCUUAAGCACACAACAAACAAAGAAGUGAUUCCUUGUCGAUCUCUUGGUCAUGGCACCCAUGAGCAAUGCGACCAGGAAGGCUGUGGUUUUUGUGCUUCUUAUGGUUAUGGCUUCCACCCUAUCAUCAUCGUCUUGCUACGCCCGCACAAUUGAAGAUGGAGCCAAUCCUCCAUUGUACUGCUUCUAUGUGGAAAAGUGCAAAGAACGUUGCCAGAUCGCAUGCAGCCUCAGCUUUAAGCCCUCAACUGGGCCGUAUUGCAAGCACAAUCAGUGUUGUUGUGCCUAGAAUAAUGCUUCUUUUUUUUACUAAAUAAAGGAAUAAUUUUACUACAUAUGCUUGCAAAUGUAGUAUUGGUUACUGACUAAUUAUACAAUUGAGCCUCUUGUGUUGUCUGGUCCA